AACGUAGGGGACAAGCGUUACCCGGAUUUACUGGGCGUAAAGCGCCCGUAGGCGGCCUGACAAGUUGGACGUGAAAGCUCCUGGCUUAACUGGGAGAGGCCGUUCAAAACUGUCAAGCUAGAGUCUGGAAGAGGAGAGCGGAAUUCCCGGUGUAGUGGUGGAAUGCGUAGAGAUCGGGAGGAACACCAGUGGCGAAAGCGGCUCUCUGGUCCAAAACUGACGCUGAGGGGCGAAAGCGUGGGGAGCGAACGGG
rnacentral:rRNA from 1 species